rnacentral:rRNA from 1 species
AUGAACGCUGGCGGCGUGCCUAAUACAUGCCAGUCGAGCGAACAGACGAGGAGCUUGCUCCUUCGACGUUAGCGGCGGACGGGUGAGUAACACGUAGGUAACCUACCUAUAAGACUGGGAUAACUUCGGGAAACCGGAGCUAAUACCGGAUAAUAUUUCGAACCGCAUGGUUCGAUAGUGAAAGAUGGCUUUGCUAUCACUUAUAGAUGGACCUGCGCCGUAUUAGCUAGCUGGUAAGGUAACGGCUUACCAAGGCAACGAUACGUAGCCGACCUGAGAGGGUGAUCGGCCACACUGGAACUGAGACACGGUCCAGACUCCUACGGGAGGCAGCAGUAGGGAAUCUUCCGCAAUGGGCGAAAGCCUGACGGAGCAACGCCGCGUGAGUGAUGAAGGUCUUCGGAUCGUAAAACUCUGUUAUUAGGGAAGAACAAACGUGUAAGUAACUGUGCACGUCUUGACGGUACCUAAUCAGAAAGCCACGGCUAACUACGUG